UCUAACUUGUUUAGUGGAUGGGUGCAGCGUCAGCUGCAUCCAUUCAGUAAACAAACGUGCUUCUGCGUACGAAUAGUACACAGGGUGCAUACACGCUUUGAUGUUGUAGUAAUAUUGUAUAACUAAACAAACAG
rnacentral:misc_RNA from 1 species